rnacentral:rRNA from 1 species
CCAUGCCGCGUGUGUGAAGAAGGCCUUCGGGUUGUAAAGCACUUUCAGUAAGGAGGAAAGGUUAAGUUUUAAUAGAGCUUAGCUGUGACGUUACUUACAGAAGAAGCACCGGCUAACUCCGUGCCAGCAGCCGCGGUAAUACGGAGGGUGCGAGCGUUAAUCGGAAUUACUGGGCGUAAAGCGUACGCAGGCGGUUUGUUAAGCGAGAUGUGAAAGCCCCGGGCUCAACCUGGGAACUGCAUUUCGAACUGGCAAACUAGAGUGUGAUAGAGGGUGGUAGAAUUUCAGGUGUAGCGGUGAAAUGCGUAGAGAUCUGAAGGAAUACCGAUGGCGAAGGCAGCCACCUGGGUCAACACUGACGCUCAUGUACGAAAGCGUGGGGAGCAAACAGGAUUAGAUACCCUGGUAGUCCACGCCGUAAACGAUGUCUACUAGAAGCUCGGGUCCUCGGACUUGUUUUUCAAAGCUAACGCAUUAAGUAGACCGCCUGGGGAGUACGGCCGCAAGGUUAAAACUCAAAUGAAUUGACGGGGGCCCGCACAAGCGGUGGAGCAUGUGGUUUAAUUCGAUGCAACGCGAAGAACCUUACCUACACUUGACAUACAGAGAACUUACUAGAGAUAGUUUGGUGCCUUCGGGAACUCUGAUACAGGUGCUGCAUGGCUGUCGUCAGCUCGUGUUUGUGAGAUGUUGGGGUUAAGUCCCGCAACGAGCCGCAACCCCCUAUCCUUUAGUUGCUAGCAGGUAAUGCUGAGAACUCUAAGGAGACUGCCCGGUGAUAAACCGGAGGAAGGGUGGGGACGACGUCAAGUCAUCAUGGCCCCUUACGUGUAGGG